UACGUAGGGUGCGAGCGUUGUCCGGAAUUACUGGGCGUAAAGAGCUCGUAGGUGGUUUGUCGCGUUGUCCGUGAAAACUCACAGCUUAACUGUGGGCGUGCGGGCGAUACGGGCAGACUGGAGUACUGCAGGGGAGACUGGAAUUCCUGGUGUAGCGGUGGAAUACGCAGAUAUCAGGAGGAACACCGGUGGCGAAGGCGGGUCUCUGGGCAGUAACUGACGCUGAGGAGCGAAAGCGUGGGGAGCGAACAGG
rnacentral:rRNA from 1 species